UGGUUCUUUAACUUAGCUGGUUAAAGUCCUCCGCUCAUAACGGAGUUAGCGCUGGUUCGAAUCCAGCAAGAACCAU
rnacentral:tRNA from 1 species